CAAAGAGAAAUCUUUUCUUGUACAAAUUUAACCUGAUCAGAGAACAGUUUUACACUUCCUGCCAGAAGAUCUGAAAUACAGUCAGCUGUUUACAAACCAGGGAGGAUCCAACGUGGCAGAUUUUACAGAGCGGGUUCUGAUGACAAGUCCUGACUCCACCAACUGCAUUAAUUUGUUGACAUUAUUACGCAGCAACUAGGGAGCCAGAGAAACUGUGCAAGUAGGUAUCUAUCUAUGAAUCCCCAGACACUUGAGAGGGAGUUCCUAAAUAACUCAGUAUCCAACACACCUUCCUUCUCCUAUUUCCCCCUCCAACAACAACUCUCUGAGGUGAAUUUGGCUGAGAGAAAGUGACUGGCCCAUGGUCACCCAGAUGCCUUUCAAGCUUCUUGGUGGGAAGCUUGACACUAGGCUGCAGGCAUGUCAGCAUUCAUGUGGAGAAGCUCUGGCUAAAGCAAGAAAGACUUCCUGAUUGACUGUGCCAUCUCUUCCUUGCUGGUAAUUUCCCUUCAGAUUCUGAUGACGUACUGUAUAUCAAGAGUAUCACGGAAGAUGAACUACGUGGAAAUAGAAUUUUCUUUUGCAUAAAAUAAUCUUCCAUUUUUAAAAUUUCCAAACUAAAAGUUUUAUAAGUAAAAAGAUUAGAUUGAUUGUGGUUGACUGCAGGAUUAUCAGCAAAUACUUUUUAGGUCAUGAAUGUGCUACUAAGGAAACAAUUUAUUUGAGCUUCCAAUGCUCAAAUUUUACUCCAAACUAAGGAAACACA